rnacentral:tRNA from 1 species
GCCUCGAUCCCAUAAACCUUUAAUUAACAACUAAAAACCCAAGCCAGCGGGCUUCAAUCUACUUCUCCCGUUAAAAAAAUACGGGAGAAGCCCCGGCAC